CUCUGUGGGGUGACACCAAAAAGGAGAAAAAAAAAAAAAACAAAAAAGAGUGAAGCUCUUCCUACCUCAGCCCUGCAGCAUCGUCCACAGGGAGAUGUGGGAUGGUUGUUUACAGGGAGGGGUGAAGUGGCUGUUUCCAGCUCAGCCGUGCAUCUACCAGCAAGUUCCAGCUUCUUCCUGGGAGCUAUGGCAACAGCAGACGUCUGAACAUCAGGUGAAAAAACAAACAGAGAAAUCUCACCAACAGCCAAAGAAACCUGGACUGAUACCAGGAAAUAUCUGGAAGCAUGAAAAAAAAAAAAAAUCUGUUUUUCUAUCAAUGUUCUUUCUCUGGGCAGUACGUGUGUGUGCCACUAGAUGUCCUGGCAGCAUCAGCCCUUGCACAGCACGGACCUGCAAACAUCGGAUGAUUUAUUCUAAAAAACUCCGAGCCUUUUUUAGUCUGAGAAUGGGAGCUCUCUUCAGAACCUUCCUUCAGAAGAAAAAUCAUCUUUAGCCUGAGGAUGAUUCCUAACAAUCAGAGAUUUGUAUGCAACAGAAUGGAAAUUUUCUGAAGAUCUUUUUUUUUUUUCCAAUAUUUCUUCACCAACUAUUAGGAUAUUGUAGUACCUGUAAGUUCCCCAAUUACCUAUACAAAAUGAACAAAAAAUAAAAUUUAU